GUGCUUGCUUCGGCAGCACAUACACCACUAAAAUUGGAAUGAUACAGAGUAGAUCAGUGUGGCCCCCGAGCAAGGAUGACACGCAAAUUCCUGAAGCAUUCCAUAUUUAA
ensembl:snRNA U6 U6 spliceosomal RNA